AUGCUUGCCAAGGUGAGGAGCGAGGGCAAGAUUGGUAUCGCUACCGCGACGUCGGGUGUCGCCGCUUCUAUAAUGCCUAGCGGCAGGACUGCCCACUCGAGGUUCAAGAUACCACUGAGUUGUGAUGAUGGUGCCUCAUGCAGCUUCACCAAGCAGAGUGGGACUGCCAAGCUGGUUAGGAUGGCCUCAUUGAUAAUAUGGGACGAGGCCAGCAUGACUAAGCGACAAGCAGUUGAGGCAUUGGACAAUAGCAUGCGUGACAUCAUGGGAAUACGCGACCGACCCUUUGGAGGAAAGACUGUUGUUUUUGGCGGGGACUUUAGGCAGGUGCUUUCGGUUGUUAGAAGGGGGUCGCGGGGACAGAUUAUUGAUGCAACACUCCAAAGUUCUCAUCUGUGGAAGGGUAUGCGGCAACUUCGGCCCGUUACCAACAUGAGGGCUCAUAAUGACACUUGGUUUGCAGAUUACUUGCUUAGGGUCGGCAAUGGCACUGAGGAUGUCGAUGAUCAAGGCAACAUACUACUCCCUAAAGACAUUUGUCUGCCUUCUACAGGCGAGGUUGACGACUUGGAGAAGCUUAUUGACCACGUGUUUCCGAGUGUAGAUGACAACAUGUCUGUUUCGAAUUACAUGACAUGUCGCGCAAUCCUUUCCACCACAAACGACAAUGUCGAUAAGAUAAACAUCCGCAUGAUAGAGCGUUUUCAGGGAGAUGAAGUAAUAUACCAUAGCUUUGACAGUGCGGAGGAUGACCCGUAUGGCUACUACGCUCUUAAUGGAUUGACUCCCAAUGGUCUUCCUCCGCAUGCACUCAAACUAAAGCUAAACUGCCCUAUCAUACUUCUAAGGAACAUUGACCCAGCUAACGGACUAUGUAAUGGCACUAGGCUUGUUGUUAGAGGAUUUGAGAGGAACACCAUUGAUGCAGAAAUCGUGAUUGGACAACACGCUGGCAGGAGGGUCUUCCUUCCUCGAAUACCUCUCUGCCCAUCUGAAAAUGACAUGUUUCCGUUCAAGUUUAAGAGGAAGCAAUUUCCUAUAAGACUUAGCUUUGCUAUGACCAUUAACAAGGCUCAAGGGUAG
rnacentral:rRNA from 1 species